CUUCAUUGCUUGUUUGGAACAUUCACAAAGCUAAUCCAGAGAGGGUGAGAACUAAGGUGCCCUGGGGCCUUUGCUCCUCAGGCAUGGGUGGGGCUGGAAGCUGGGGGAAGGGGAGAAGAGAGGAGGAAGCAAAGCCCGUGGGCACAUCCUGGUGGCAUGGAGGGGACUGGAACUGCGAGGAAGAGGGAGUGAAAGGGUGGCUUUGGGCAGGAGGCAGGACCCCAGUUUUCAGAGGGGAAGGAGGGCAGGGGCAAGGAUGCUGGAGGAUGCUGGCAACUGUUGAGGGGAAAGGUUGGUGGGAGAUCAUUUCCUUUGGGAUCACGGCCAACUCUGAAGGAAGCCUGGGGUCACCUGCUGACACUGCGGUGCAGCAGAGGUUGAUGCAAGGAGGGUCCAAACUCACUCUCCCCCGAAGGGUUCACUGUCCUGUGUGCAUGUUCUUCUCAAGGUACAGGGUCGGGGGCACAAGGAACAGGGACCGUUGUCCCCAAGUUAUUGUGCAUCCCUGUGGGGGCCUCCAAUGCUGAAAGCACUACAGCAGGUCUGGUUUGAGGCUGCAGAUCAGACUCUUUCUCUCUCUGAGGCAGGAGCACCAUUCUGCUCUUUUCCUCUGUGAGGUAACCUAGGGACGUUAUCGUCCAUUACUCAUUUACAGACGUUAACAUGACUCCCUGCUCUGAGCAUCCUGUGUGCCAGGCUGGCCCUUCGUAUUCAUCUUGUCCCUUCACUCUGCCCUGUUGAGGAAGGAGGGAUCACUGCUGUCCCCACUCUGCAGCUGAGGAGGCCAGGGCAGGACAGGGAGGGAAAGCACCCAGGGGUGCUCAGCUGCCAACAGAGGCUAGGCUCUUGAGACUGGCUGUGGCCUCCUGCUGUAUCCAUGUGCUGUGUCUCCUGGGGCCAUGUGAUCACUCGUUAUCCAGAAGUGCAUCCCUGAAGACAGGUUAGAAAUUGUAGGUGUGGGUACCGCAGGACCAAGAGCCUUCUCCCUCGGGCCCUGUCAGGGAUGCUGAGUCCACAACACCAAUGAGCUCUGGCCUGCUGCCCAGUCCUGUCCUUCAUUCCCAUCACCGGAGCUGCCUGGGAGCCAAUGCUGGUGCCAACCCACUGUUGAGGCCUGGGGUCAGGGUGCAGAGCAGGCAAUGGGGAACCACAUUCAAGCGACUUGGAGUAAGCAGGCACUUUCUCUCCCAGGCGGAGGCAGAGAACGCGGUGAAAGGAAGGGUCAAACGAAUUGAAUUUGAAUCCAGGCCUCGGUUUUCUCUAGUUCUACAUCCAGGUGCUAAGUCAGGCAUUCUUCCUGGGUCUCAGUUUCUCCGUCUGUGAUAUGGGGGGAAUAUUUUUCAGGGGUACUGCACAAACCCAGACCCCAAGAGGCCCCUCUCCAUCGUGAGGAUGUAACAACAAUGACAUCACCGUCAGAAUGAUCACAGUCAGCGUUUAGUGAGUGUUUACUACGUGCCAAGAGCUGUCCUGGGGCUUUGCAUACGUUCUGUCCUCUCCUCAUAAUAACCGUGAGGUAGGUACACGGAGAAGUUAACCCAGGGAGCACCCUGUGCCCCUCUGUGACUUCACAGCCCACUGCUCACUUCCUGCCCUCCCUUCCUUCAACUACGGAAGGAGCUCAUAAUCGUGUACCACAAAGUGGGUGUGCAGCCCGUGCAGACCAAUUAUUCACACAUAAGGGCUGGCGAUCACGCAGGCAGCGCUUCCCCCAUUUAUCCCCUCGCGUUCCUCUGUUUCUCCUCGCGCCUUUCGUUUUUCUGCUGCUUUUCACGUGUUAUUUUCGGUUCCCUUGCAGCCUUGUCCCACUCUCCCUCCCACAGUCUCUGGCCUUGUCCGCCGGUCCUCUGCUGCCCUCGUGUGGCUCUAGGUGGAAAGGCAGCUUCCCCAGCCCCACCCAAGGUGCGGCUGGGGAUGGAGCUGGGGAUGAGCGCGAGGGGAUCCAGGUGUGGAUGGUCGGCACGGGUUUGGCUCCGCGCCUUUGACCUGGUCUGUGCCCUGGAUUAACUUUGACCUAUUGUUGGUGGGGAGGAUAGACGCCUGAGCGUGGCCUCGGGUCUGUGUUAGCCUUGGGAAAGGCCACUCUCCUUCCCGGAGGGCCCCCUUCGCCUGUAAAUUUCGUGAAAUUCUAAGGGGAACUACGAGGGCCUCCGCAGGCCGAGUGCGAGUCACCCCGCAGACGCUCGCUGCGCAGCCGCAGCCGGGCUUUUCCUUUUUAAUAGUGGCUGGCCUAACCGAGGGUUAAGAAGGUUCGCAGAAGAAUUUAAUCACCUUCGGGCACCCAAUGGAAGACAAAGAUCAAAACUAAGCUGCUCCAAGCACUUUUCUUACUUCAGCCUCUGUUCAGAACUCAAUUGCCCUCCCACCAGAAACCUGAUUAUUCCCGAACUGAUUUUUUUUUUUUUUAUGUUUCACGGUAUUUAACUCUUUUCUGUUUUGAGUUUUUUUAAAAUUGCACAAGCAAUGCACGGUCAGUGUAGAAAGAUUAAAAACCACAGCAGAAGACUUCCAGUUAAUGAUAACAGGUUACACUUGAGCUUUUUUCCUUAAACUUAAAAUGACAACAGAGAUUUUAAAUCUACAAGGGCAAGAGAACAAGCAGAGGAGUCUGUAAUAGAGGAUGAAUUUUUUCUCCAGCUUUAUUGAGAAUCUCACAAAGUCACCAAGUUGCCCAGGCCGGGCUAGAACUUGUGAGCCUCCUGCCUGAGGCCUUUCCAGAGUGCUUUCCAACGUGCUGGGGUUACAAGUGGGCACCACUGUGCUCAGGUUUAGAAGUUUCAGUCCAUGAUUGGUUGACCUGGUUGCUUUGGGCCUGGUGAGAGGCAGCACAUCACGGCAGGUAAGUGUGGUACAGCAAAGCUGCUCACUUCAUGGUCAGGACAAAAGAAGAAAAGAGGAAGGGACUGGACUUCCACAAUCCCCUCUGAGACCAUGCCCCCAAAGACCUAAAGACCUCCCAUUACACCCGACCUUUCAAGGUUUCCAACACCUCCAAGAGUGCCAAGCUGGGGACCACAUCUUUACCACAUAGACCUCUGGGUCCCAUUCCAGAUCCCAACAGUAUCAG